rnacentral:lncRNA from 1 species
GGGAUUUAUCUGAGGUUAAACUUUCAAAAAAUUCCUUGAAUGUGCAUGAUUGUAAACACAAAUAAAAUUACGGCGGUUUGGAGCAUUGCGUUUUGAGGUUGCACGCUUGGUAUGCUCAUUUGACAUUUUUUUGUACAUUUUUAUUGGACAUCGAUAUGAUAUUUACAAAGUACUGUAGGGAUGUGCGUCAUCACAUUUUGUCUUAUCUAUACAUGUGUCUUUUGACGUUUUGUGCACUAAAUUUUUUCAAUAGUGAAUUUGUUAAAAAUAGUAACACAAAUGUAGACAUAGUAUUAUAUGAUAUCUGCAAGAUAGAAGAACUUUUCUUAAAGGCCCAUCAAGUAGUAUACAUGCAUGCACGACUGUCAUUCUGGCGUAUGAAAAUAUCUGCUGACGCAACUUUUCCUGUUCAUACAUGCAUGGUUAAAUUUGAAAUGUGACAUCUUUGCAUACAUUUAUCCGAGCGCCAGGAUGAGUGUCGUGUACGACUUGUCAUACCGUGUAGAUGGUCCUCUAAGAAAUUAGUUUUAAUUAAAUUUACAGUUCAUACAACAAUCAACGUCCUGCAGGCAUGACACACGAUAUAUCAUGCUCAAGAUUAAUAGUAAUACUACAGUUUGAACACGAAUAACUUCAGUAGUAUACAAGUCGUCAAUCAUAUUACUUUUUCAUAAUGAUGUUGAACAGAGUCUUAUAUUAGUUUUCGCGAACAAGUUCCAUUUUGUAUGUCUUUUGUAUUUAUUGGAAAGCUAUACCAAAUUUUGCUUCUGUAUAAAAAAUUUAUCGUAAUUUACCAAUACUUGAUAUGUACAUUGAUGCAUGGCGGAUGAUUUACAGGGCCUUACUGUAUAUACUAUAGUUCUAUAUACACACUACUAUAGGCCUACGUCAGAUGCUUCUCAGCAAAGCAGAAAACAGCGUACUAUGAUUUCGAUUUAUCUUUCGGCAUGCAGUUCUCAUAUAUCAUAACAAUAUACAACGCAUUUGCGCAACUAUAUUGACCCUUGCGUGCUGUAUUUGGAAAGAUCAAAUUCCGAACAAAUUGCGUAGAUUUUUUAUCAUGCAUGAAACACCUAUUUUACUUAAUGUAGCUACAAGCUAUACGGGUUACGCCGUUACGUAUAGAUGUAAUGGGGAGUUUAAGCUUCACGUUUCUGGGAACGGCAAACGGCAGGUUCGAACUUUCUUGGCAAAAUUUUCGUUCAACCUUUUUGUUUGAUAUUUUCUUUCUUAACGCGAAGCUUAAACACUCUAUUGUUUAGUGAAAUAGAUAAUAUUUGGUAUGUUACAUGCAUGUACAUUUACUUAAGCAUUGCAUAUCAAAAUCUGAUGGCAUGAAUGUAGCAUUUAACUCAGUGUUUAUAUAAGACCGGCAGUGUUUAUUAAAACUACUUGUCUUGACAUGCAUUUCACUUAUUAAGUCUGUAGUUUAAACAAGUACAUAUAAGAUAAGUGUAUUAACAGAAAAAUAUAAGAAAAAUACCGACGCCUAUUUUGUUUCUCAGAAUCUUUAUACGCUUAGAGAUCUGGGUCUAUCAGUAUAGUUUACGCUUGUGUUAAUGUCGGGGGUGAUGUCGAUGCGUAUUUCAUUGCAUCUGUAUGUUUUUCCGUUUUCUAUGUCACACAAGCUGAGCCCUUUACUGGCGAUAGUCAAGGCUGUUUCUGUCGAGAUUUCUGUUGGCUGUUUGGAAACAAUCUUUGGAACACGAUGCAGAUCUGACAAUCUUCUGUAAUGCCAGUACGCUCUGAUAAGUGUCUUGAUAACGAGUCCAAUUUCGUGUGGGUUGUAUGCAAACAAUACAACGCGAAGAGCGAGGAACAUACAACUGGAAACAAAUUGAGAAAGUUUAAUUCUUCGUUCCGAGUGGAUCGAUCCAUUUGUUAAUUCAGGAAACUUCAUAUGAUAUAUUUCCAAUAAUGAAGGAAUGUGAAACAUGAUAGCAACCAAACAAAUCAUGAUUUUCACCCACGCCGGAUUUGUUAACUUCAAUUUUGUACCUGACAUCUCAAUACCGUCGUAGAUAUCUAUUAUCGCUGGGCAAUAGUCUUUCACUUCACUAAGCAUAUUAUAUCCAGCCAUCAUUAUUUGUAGUGGUAAAAGUAGUGAUAUUUGUGUUAUGCUACUUGAAAAUGCGACAUAGGUUGAAUAGCUAUAUACGGCCAUAUAUCCAUCGUUGACUGUAUAGUAAAUGAGCAAUGUGAAAUGGAACAACAGCAUGAAAUGCCCCAUUCUGCCGGACCCGAACAUGCCGGACCCAAACGUGUUACCGACGACUUUUUUCGCCUGAAUUUGUGUAAAAUAUGCAGCUGGUACUAACAGAAUAAUCGCAUAUAUUAUUAAUGGAGGAACUGUGUUCAUCAAAAAUUCCAUCGUAACAAAACGGUAGAAUUGCGUCAGGGCAAUACCAAUGUUGACGAAGAAUCCGGGUAAGAAUGCAAAGAAAAAGAUAGUAGCAA